rnacentral:lncRNA from 1 species
AAAAAGCAUACAUAUAAUUGACUUACAGAAAUAUUAUGAUAAUUUUUUGCUGUCCAGAGUUUGCAGGUUUUGCCUUGCAAAUGGUAUACUGAAGUUCACGUCCCAUUAAAGGUCUCACGGUUUUUCCUGCGCACUCAAAGAAUGAUGGAUUGGAGGUUGUUCAGGAAAAUUGAUCUUUCUGCACUAGGAAGAAGCGUGUCUGCAGGAGAGGACUUUCUCAGGGACUUGUUUCAAGGGUAAGGCAUUAGUUUGCCAGGAGUUAAGGACAAUUGCAAAUCUUGUGCUGCCUCAAGUUCAGCAUGCAUUUCUUUGGUCCCCAUAGUAAUGGGGGAAUUUCACAAUGUGCACGAGCAUUAAACAAUAAACAAUGAAUUUUUUAGAGAGUAAGCA